AUGAAUAAGGAGACUCCUGUGUCCAAAAGCCAAGCCCUUUACCCUGUUCUUUACCUUCCUCUCUCUAAAUUACCCCCCGAGUCACCAAGGGGCUUCCAUGGUGGCUCAGGGGGUAAACAGCCUGCCUGCAAUACAGGAGACCUGGGUUUGAUCCCUGGGUUGGAAAGGUUCCCUGGAGAAGAAAAUGGCAACCCACUCCAGUAUUCUUGCCUGGAGAAUUCCACGGACAGAGGAGCCUGGAGGGCUACAGUCCCUGGGUUAGGACUGAGUGACUAACUUUCACUUUCAUGCUAGAUAACACUUAUUCUUCAACCUCUUGAGUCAUCAUCAUCUUAAACACUGGUUGACAUCUUAGUGGACUAGAAGUUUUUCUUCCAUUCUCUCUCCUCCUCCUUCCAUUCUCUCCUCCUCCUCUCUCUCCUCCUACUUGCAUCUCAAUUUUUAAAUUAUUAUUAUUAUUUUGCUGUACUGGGUCUUCGUUGCUGCGCAUGGCUUUGUCUAUUUGUGGGGAGUGGAAGCCACUCUCUCUAGCUCUGGUGUGUGGGCUUCUCGUUGCUUUGGCUUCUCUUAUUGCAGAGCACAGGCUCUAGAGUGCAGGUUCAGCAGUUUCCGUGCAUGGGCUUAGGUGCUGUACAGCAUGUGGGAUCUUCUGGAACCAGGGAUCAAACCCACGUCCCUUAUGUUGGCGUGUGGAUUCUUAACCAUUGGACCACCCUCAUAAUGGACGUUGCUUAUAAUUGUUUUAAAUCCUUUGUCUACACCUUCACUACUAUGUAUUCCCAGCCUGAUUACUAGACUGUGAUUCUACUUCCUUUCUUUUUUGUUUUUCCUAUUAAUAAUUACCUCAUUUUUCAUCAACUUAGGCUUGUUUUGUAAAAAGCAAUUGACUAAACUUUUCCAUGCCCUCGAUGUAAUUUUCCACAUGACCAAACCUGUCUGAUAAUUUGUCAGUCUCAUUUAUUUUCCUGGGGACAAACUCCCUCACCCCUUAGAGCCUUCAGCUAUCCUGCUGAUCAGGUCUAGCUGUUCCCUGGGCCAAGGCACAGCUGGUCUCCAGAUAUUCUCUUAGCCAAUACUCAAGGAAUUCCGUCCCUGUCUCCCCUGGGUUGGGGUCCCUGUUCCUGGAUCCCACAUCUUCUUUCUCAGCUCCUGGUUUUAGUUGAGCACAUCCUUCAGGAGUUUCAUGAGAAAAGGGACGUGGGUGGACAAGUUAUUCUGAGAUAUUAUGUGUCUAGAAAAGUCCUCAUUUCACCAUCACAUUCAGUUGAUAGCCUGG
ensembl:lncRNA